rnacentral:rRNA from 1 species
GACGAACGCUGGCGGCGUGCUUAACACAUGCAAGUCGAACGGUGAAGCGCCUUCCUUUUUGGUGGGUGUGGAUGAGUGGCGAACGGGUGAGUAACACGUGAGUAACCUGCCCCCUUCUUCUGGAUAACCGCAUGAAAGUGUGGCUAAUACGGGAUAUUCUGGGUCUGUCGCAUGAUGGGUCUGGGAAAGAUAUUGUUUCGGUGGGGGAUGGGCUCGCGGCCUAUCAGCUUGUUGGUGGGGUGAUGGCCUACCAAGGCGGUGACGGGUAGCCGGCCUGAGAGGGUGGACGGUCACACUGGGACUGAGACACGGCCCAGACUCAUACGGGAGGCAGCAGUGGGGAAUAUUGCACAAUGGGGGCAAGCCUGAUGCAGCGACGCCGCGUGAGGGAUGGAGGCCUUCGGGUUGUGAACCUCUUUCGCCAGUGAAGCAGGCCUGCCUCGUUUGCGGGUGGGUUGACGGUAGCUGGAUAAGAAGCGCCGGCUAACUACGUG